GGGAUGGCCAUUUCUUCAAUGAUUUACAUGCCAGCCUCUGUAUCUCACAAAAUUUCCAGUAAAACAGUGCAGAUUAAGAGCUCAUUAAUUGUUGGAAGUAGCCCUGGAUUUAAUUGCUCUGAUGUCCUAACUAAUGAUGAUCCCAAUAUUGAACUUUCUGCCGCCCACCGGAGUGCUAGACCUCCAUCAGGUGGGCGAAGUGGGAUUUGCUGGCCUACCUUUGCUUCAGCACAUAACAUGGCAC